rnacentral:tmRNA from 2 species
GGGACCGACAUGGUUUCGACGUGGAUUACAAAGCAUCAAGGGCAUACCGAGGACCCGUUAUCUCGUAAAUCAAUGGGAAUGUAAUAACUGCAAACGACGAACGU